CGGCGCACGGGUGAGUAACGCGUGGGAAUUUACCUUGGAGUGGGGAAUAACCGCUGGAAACGGCGGCUAAUACCGCAUACGCCCUUAUGGGGAAAGCUUUAGCGCUCUGGGAUGAGCCCGCGUUAGAUUAGGUAGUUGGUGGGGUAAAGGCCUACCAAGCCUGCGAUCUAUAGCUGGUCUGAGAGGAUGAUCAGCCACACUGGGACUGAGACACGGCCCAGACUCCUACGGGAGGCAGCAGUGGGGAAUAUUGGACAAUGGGGGCAACCCUGAUCCAGCCAUGCCGCGUGCGUGAAGAAGGCCUUAGGGUUGUAAAGCGCUUUCACUGGUGAAGAUGAUGACGGUAGCCAGAGAAGAAGCCCCGGCUAACUCCGUGCCAGCAGCCGCGGUAAU
rnacentral:rRNA from 1 species